rnacentral:tRNA from 1 species
GGAGCGUUAGCUCAGCUGGGAGAGCAUUUGCCUUACAAGCAAGAGGUCAUAGGUUCGAUCCCUAUACGCUCCACCA